UACACAUUUCUACAAACUACUCUACUGGAUACAUGGACACAUGUUUGCGAAAACCUAGAAAGGGGGUGUCCAGCACCUGGAGUGCUGAUUUCUUCCCGGCCAGUGGCCAAGUAAAACAGGGCAACACGAAAAUUGGAAGUUUAUCUACGUUAGACUCUUUUGUAGAGACUCUUUUGCUGACAGUCCUAAAAUCAGCCAUGGUGAGGAUUUCUGGAGAAGCCCAGCUCCUCCACUUCCAGCCUGGCAGGACACAGCUGAUGUGCACCUUGUAUCGACAUGCUCACAGAGCACCCAGGCCCCACCUCUCAUCACCACCACAAUGGCAAAGUUCAACGUGAGUUUCAGAGGGGACAGACCACACUCGACCCAUGAGGCUUCCCCGUGCUAGGAGUUGAACUCAAGACCACACACUUGCCAGUACACAGGAGAGGGCAUGUGAGGACACUGUGAGAAAACAGCUGUGCCAGGAAGAAAUGCCUCACCAGGAGCCAACCACACUGGCAUGCUGAUCCCGAACAGCCACCUC